rnacentral:rRNA from 1 species
GUACACUCCUGCGGGAGGCAGCAGUGGGGAAUAUCGCACAAUGGGCGCAAGCCUGAUGCAGCCAUGCCGCGUGUAUGAAGAAGGCCUUCGGGUUGUAAAGUACUUUCAGCGGGGAGGAAGGCGAUAAGGUUAAUAACCUUGUCGAUUGACGUUACCCGCAGAAGAAGCACCGGCUAACUCCGUGCCAGCAGCCGCGGUAAUACGGAGGGUGCAAGCGUUAAUCGGAAUUACUGGGCGUAAAGCGCACGCAGGCGGUCUGUCAGGUCGGAUGUGAAAUCCCCGGGCUCAACCUGGGAACUGCAUUCGAAACUGGCAGGCUAGAGUCUUGUAGAGGGGGGUUGAAUUCCAGGUGUAGCGGUGAAAUGCGUAGAGAUCUGGAGGAAUACCGGUGGCGAAGGCGGCCCCCUGGACAAAGACUGACGCUCAGGUGCGAAAGCGUGGGGAGCAAACAGGAUUAGAAACCCGAGUAGUCCC